CCUACGGGAUGCAGCAGUGGGGGAUAUUGCACAAUGGGGGGAACCCUGAUGCAGCGACGCCGCGUGGGUGAAGAAGCGCCUCGGCGCGUAAAGCCCUGUCAGCAGGGAAGAAAAUGACGGUACCUGAAGAAGAAGCCCCGGCUAACUACGUGCCAGCAGCCGCGGUAAUACGUAGGGGGCAAGCGUUAUCCGGAUUUACUGGGUGUAAAGGGGGCGCAGACGGCGAUGCAAGCCAGGAGUGAAAGCCCGGGGCCCAACCCCGGGACUGCUCUUGGAACUGCGUGGCUAGAGUGCAGGAGGGGCAGGCGGAAUUCCUGGUGUAGCGGUGAAAUGCGUAGAUAUCAGGAGGAACACCGGUGGCGAAGGCGGCCUGCUGGACUGCAACUGACGUUGAGGCCCGAAAGCGUGGGGAGCAAACAGGAUUAGAUACCCCAGUAGUC
rnacentral:rRNA from 1 species